rnacentral:rRNA from 1 species
UACGUGGGUCACGAGCGUUAUCCGGUGUAACUGGGCGUAAAGAGUGUGUAGGCGGUUUUUUAAGUUACUUUUCAAAGACCUCUGCUUACCAGAGGAAAGGGAAGUAAUACUGGAAGACUGGAGUUUUCUUUAGGGUAAUCGGAAUUCAUGGAGGAGUAGUGAAAUGCGUUGAUACCAUGAAGAACACCAGUGGCGAAGGCGGAUUACUGGAAGAUAACUGACGCUGAGACACGAAAGCUAGGGGAGCGAACGGG